GAGGGUAGAACUCAAGUGUUAGAGUGCAUGCUUAGCAUGCAUGAGGUCCUGGGUUCAAUCCCCGGUUCCUCCU
rnacentral:tRNA from 1 species